UGCCAGCAGCCGCGGUAAUACGGAGGGGGUUAGCGUUGUUCGGAAUUACUGGGCGUAAAGCGCACGUAGGCGGAUUAGUAAGUUAGGGGUGAAAUCCCGGGGCUCAACCCCGGAACUGCCUCUAAUACUGGUAGACUAGAGUUUGGGAGGGGUAAGCGGAAUUCCGUGUGUAGCAGUGAAAUGCGUAGAUAUACGGAGGAACACCUGAGGCGAAGGCGGCUUACUGGACCAAUACUGACGCUGAGAUGCGAAAGCGUGGGGAGCAAACAGGAUUAGAUA
rnacentral:rRNA from 1 species